rnacentral:rRNA from 1 species
UAAUACAUCGGACGUGUCCCGUAGUGGGGGAUAGCCCGGCGAAAGCCGGAUUAAUACCGCAUAUGCUCUACGGAGGAAAGUGGGGGACUCGCAAGGGCCUCACGCCAUGGGAGCGGCCGAUGUCCGAUUAGCUUGUUGGCGGGGUAAUGGCCCACCAAGGCGACGAUCGGUAGCUGGUCUGAGAGGAUGAUCAGCCACACUGGGACUGAGACACGGCCCAG